ACUUAGUGCUGCAGUGGGUAUUAAGG
rnacentral:piRNA from 1 species